rnacentral:rRNA from 1 species
UACGGGAGGCAGUAGGGGGAAUAUUGCACAAUGGGCGCAAGCCUGAUGCAGCCAUGCCGCGUGUAUGAAAAAGGCCUUCGGGUUGUAAAGUACUUUCAGUCGUGAGGAAGGUGUUAAGGUUAAUAACCUUAGCAAUUGACGUUAGCGACAGAAGAAGCACCGGCUAACUCCGUGCCAGCAGCCGCGGUAAUACGGAGGGUGCGAGCGUUAAUCGGAAUUACUGGGCGUAAAGGGCACGCAGGCGGUUAAUUAAGUUGGAUGUGAAAUCCCCGGGCUUAACCUGGGAAUGGCAUUCAAGAUUGGGUUAGCUAGAGUCUUGUAGAGGGGGGUAGAAUUCCAUGUGUAGCGGUGAAAUGCGUAGAGAUGUGGAGGAAUACCGGUGGCGAAGGCGGCCCCUGGACAAAGACUGACGCUCAUGUGCGAAAGCGUGGGGAGCAAACAGGGAUUAGAUACC